CCUACGGGCGGCAGCAGUGAGGAAUAUUGGUCAAUGGGCGCGAGCCUGAACCAGCCAAGUAGCGUGAAGGAUGACUGCCCUACGGGUUGUAAACUUCUUUUAUAAAGGAAUCAAGUGAGGCACGUGUGCCUUUUUGUAUGUACUUUAUGAAUACGGAUCGGCUACCUCCGUGCCAGCAGCCGCGGUCAUACGGCGGCUCCGAGCGUUAUCCGGCUUUCUUGGGUUGAAGGGGAGCGUAGAUGGGUGGUUAAGUCAGUGGUGAAAGUUUGCGGCUCCACCGGAAAAUUGCCAUUGAUCCGGGCAGCCUUGGGUACAGUUGAGGGAGGCGGAAUGCGGGGUGUAGCGGUG
rnacentral:rRNA from 1 species